CUGCAUUCAGUGACAUCACAAGGGUAGCUUGAAGUGGCCAUAUUGGGAGUAUUUACAUCAUAGAAACCAGAAAUGCUUUAAAUGUAGGCUUUGGAUCCUUUGCCCCUUUCUCCUCCCUCUGCAUCCAGCCCUACCAUUGUUUGUUUUUGGAGAGUAGCUGCAGAGAGUCCAUAGUGUAAAGAUAGCGUGAGGCCAGUGUAGAACCUUGAGAAACUGGGUCUUAGUGUUAUGCUUUGAAUUAUUAAGAUCAAGCUUUAUGGGAAACCUGCCCUACUUCUCUGGAGUUUUCAGUUAUGAGCAGAAAAUGGAAGACAACCAUGGUAUUAGGAAUUAUUUCAAAUGCCUCCUGGCUGUGCAAUCUGAAAGAAAAAAUAACUUGGUAAUGUUAUACAAUAACAUUAUCUUUCUGAGGAAUUCUUCACUCAUGCAACAUGUGAAAAGAACAACAUUUUAA
rnacentral:lncRNA from 1 species